rnacentral:rRNA from 1 species
CAGCCGCCGCGGUAAUACGAAGGGGCUAGCGUUGUUCGGAAUUACUGGGCGUAAAGCGCACGUAGGCGGAUAUUUAAGUCAGGGGUGAAAUCCCGCAGCUCAACUGCGGAACUGCCUUUGAUACUGGGUAUCUUGAGUAUGGGAGAGGAUGGUAGAAUUCCAGGUGUAGCGGUGAAAUGCGUAGAGAUCUGGAGGAAUACCGGUGGCGAAGGCGGCCCCCUGGACAAAGACUGACGCUCAGGUGCGAAAGCGUGGGGAGCAAACAGGAUUAGAUACCCCUGUAGUCCCUGUCUCUUAUACA